rnacentral:rRNA from 1 species
AACGAACGCUGGCGGCAUGCCUAACACAUGCAAGUCGAACGAGACCUUCGGGUCUAGUGGCGCACGGGUGCGUAACGCGUGGGAACCUGCCCUUAGGUUCGGAAUAACCCCCCGAAAGGGGUGCUAAUACCGGAUAAUGUCUUCGGACCAAAGACUUAUCGUCUUUGGAUGGGCCCGCGUUGGAUUAGCUAGUUGGUAGGGUAAAAGACUACCAAGGCGACGAUCCAUAGCUGGUCUGGGAGGAUGAUCAGCCACACUGGGACUGAGACACGGCCCAGACUCCUACGGGAGGCAGCAGUGGGGAAUAUUGGACAAUGGGCGAAAGCCUGAUCCAGCAAUGCCGCGUGAGUGAUGAAGGCCUUAGGGUUGUAAAGCUCUUUUACCCGGGAUGAUAAUGACAGUACCGGGAGAAGAAGCUCCGGCUAACUCCGUG